AAACAGCUUAUUGGGAGGUGCGGGGAGGGAGAGGGGGUGCUGAUCGGCGGGGCUGACGGUGGGCGGGAGGCACUGGGAGCGGAGGGGGGGCGGUACCAGUGAAAAUUCAGAUUCCGUUUGCUCAAUGCACAGCAGUUUAUUGGAGAAUCACAUAAGCAGUAAAAGGUUGUUGUGUGCAGCACCAAUAUCACCGUAAUGUGCGGCACCAGUACAAACAAAACCCCCUAGAUAUCUAUUUGUAAACAGUUUAUAGCUCUGGAAGAAAGAAUAUUAAAACAAGGAAUAAUUAAGGAGGGGCUCGGCUUAAGAUGUUUAUUUAAUAUGAAAUCAAAUAAAAAGAAAGUUGGAGUACAUGGAUUUUAUCAUCCUUUCUAACAACUCAAGCUUGUAAACACACCAAAAUGGGGCACACUGAAAACAGCUAUGUAAAUAAAACAAAGACAUGGCCAUUAAGUGAAAGCAUAAAAAAUAUGCCCCAGAGGCCCAGUUGAAUAAUCUUCUCCUACCAUCGAGCACUAAACCUUCAGGGAAAGCUGCUCUUGAAAAAUGAAGCAUCUGCCAACACACUAGCACGUUAUGGACUUUUGCAGGUCACAAAACUGUCCUCUUGCAUGCACAUUAUCUGCACACACCGCUCAGCUUUAAGAUGCUAAACAACUCUCUGAGUCAACUAGAAAUAGUCACGCUCUCAUCGCAAAUAUUAACACAAUCUUUUCUGAUGCUGGAAAGGACAGUAAAAGGCAUUCACUCAGACUUAUACAAUUUCUCUGGGAUGUCAACUUGUAAUGUGAUUAAUAUGUCACACACGUUGAACAGUAACAAUAAGUAAUAAAGCAACACAGAGAGCAACAGACCCACAAACAAACAAGUGACACCACUGAGAAUACGAAGGGAAGAAAAACAUCAAGUGGUUGGUUAUGGGGAUUUUACAUGAGUGUUUAGGACCCACGCUGUGCAAGUGCAACAGAGCCCUGUACAAACAGGCAAAGUUCUCCUGGUUUCACAUUGUGUGUGUGUGUCACCAACUCAGAGUCGACUCAUUAAGUUUUUGCAAGCCCCAGAGCACAUUAACACAUGACCUCAGAGUUUGCAGACAGAUCCCCGCUUCAAAGAGUUUGCAGGUAAGGUCUUUAUCCUACAAAACACGUAGCACCAAACCUAGUACUACUUGCUCCUUAUGAGUCAAUGGAAGUACUCUGAAGAGCCAGAACUAUACCAGCUAGCAAAGAUCUGGCCUUAAUGGUUCCCAAUACCUCUCCCCAAACAAAAGUCAUGGAAAUCGCUUGUCUGGAGGCGUCUCUCUGGCCACCAGCAGGGUGACAAGUGAUCUCCAUUCAGUUGUAGAAUUUGUUUGGGGAGAGGAUGGGAGGAACAGACUGAGGAGUGCAGGGGGUUGGUAAGCGGCGCAGAAGCUGCUGCGCG
rnacentral:lncRNA from 1 species